UGUCCUCCAUAGGAGGUCUAUAUUGAGCAGAUUCUUUUUGGUAUUGGGUAGUGGAACCGGAGCGUGCUCCAUCCACUCCAUGCAUUGACCUGGUAUUGCAGUGCUUCCAGGACCGGUUC
rnacentral:snRNA from 1 species